rnacentral:rRNA from 1 species
UACGUAGGGGGCAAGCGUUGUCCGGAUUUAUUGGGCGUAAAGGGCGCGUAGGCGGCCUGUUAAGUCGAACGUGAAAUCCCCGGGCUCAACCCGGGAACUGCGUCCGAUACUGGCAGGCUUGAAUCCGGGAGAGGGAUGCGGAAUUCCAGGUGUAGCGGUGAAAUGCGUAGAUAUCUGGAGGAACACCGGUGGCGAAGGCGGCAUCCUGGACCGGCAUUGACGCUGAGGCGCGAAAGCCAGGGGAGCAAACGGG